rnacentral:rRNA from 1 species
AUUGAACGCUGGCGGCAUGCCUUACACAUGCAAGUCGAACGGUAACGCGGGGCAACCUGGCGACGAGUGGCGAACGGGUGAGUAAAGUAUCGGAACGUGCCCAAUAGUGGGGGAUAGCCCGGCGAAAGCCGGAUUAAUACCGCAUGAGACCUGAGGGUGAAAGCGGGGGACUCGCAAGAGCCUCGCGCUGUUGGAGCGGCCGAUAUCAGAUUAGGUAGUUGGUGGGGUAAAGGCCUACCAAGCCGACGAUCUGUAGCUGGUCUGAGAGGACGACCAGCCACACUGGGACUGAGACACGGCCCAGACUCCUACGGGAGGCAGCAGUGGGGAAUUUUGGACAAUGGGCGCAAGCCUGAUCCAGCCAUGCCGCGUGCGGGAA